rnacentral:misc_RNA from 1 species
GAUGAAGAACGCAGCGAAAUGCGAUAAGUAAUGCGAAUUGCAGAAUCCGUGAGUCAUCGAAUCUUUGAACGCACAUUGCGCCCCUUGGUUAUUCCGAAGGGCAUGCCUGUUCGAGCGUCAUUAUCACCCCUCAAGCCCUGGCUUGGUGUUGGACGGUUUGGUGGAGGCCCCCUCGGGGGCUCCUGCCCCUCCCAAAGACAAUGACGGCGGCCUCGUUGGACCCCCGGUACACUGAGUUCUUCACGGGACACGUAUCGGACACAUGGGUUUACGGGACACGGUCUGCCUCCCCUCAGGGAGAAUCUUUCUAAGGUUGACCUCGGAUCAGGUAGGGAUACCCGCUGAACUUAAGCAUAUCAAUAAGCGGAGGA